rnacentral:rRNA from 1 species
AUGUCGUUCGUGUGGCGCGGUGUUUGCCACUGGAAAAGCUUUGUGUCUAGUGAGAGUGUGUGUGUGUGUGUGUGUGUGUGUGUGUGUGUGAGAGAGAGAGAGAGAGAGAGAGAGAGAGAGAGAGAGAGAGAGAGAGAGCCAGAAUCCGUCCUGGGUCUAUCCCAACAUGGUCCCCAUGCGGAACUUCCAGCUGCCAAAGUUCACCGCGUCGUACAAGAUGGAGGCCUCGGGCUGCGCCUGACGUUGGACAUAGCGUUGACGACCUCUCAGAGAUGCUGGAGGAAUCGACGGGGUCCCUCGUCGUGUCCAACGUCUACUCCCAGUCCCUGUUGGAGGUGA